CCAAUAGCGUAUAUUAAAGUUGUUGCAGUUAAAAAGCUCGUAGUUGAAUUUCGAGAUCGGCUUACUGGUCGUGCUUUUGUACGUACUGGUAAAUCGGUUUCUCCUUUCUGACGAACUUUAAUGCCAUUAAUUUGGUGUUUUAGGGAAUCAGGACUGUUACUUUGAAAAAAUUAGAGUGUUUAAAGCAGGCUCACGCUUGAAUACAUUAGCAUGGAAUAACGGAAUAGGACGUUUGAUUCUAUUUUGUUGGUUUCUAGGACCGACGUAAUGAUUAAUAGGGAUAGUUGGGGGGAUUAGUAUUCAAUUGUCAGAGGUGAAAUUCUUGGAUUUAUUGAAGACUAACUACUGCGAAAGCAUUUGCCAAGGAUGUUUUCAUUAAUCAAGAACGAAAGUUAGGGGAUCGAAGACGAUCAGAUACCGUCGUAGUCUUAACCAUAAACUAUGCCGACUAGGGAUCGGAUGAUGUUAAUUUUUUAAUGACUCAUUCGGCGCCUUACG
rnacentral:misc_RNA from 1 species